CCUGGUGGUUUUACGUAAGAGGCAGCGCGUUGGGGCCAGGAAGGGACGGAACCAUGGGGCUGGGUUUACACCAGUUAUGCGAAGCCCCUCCGCUCUGCCCCCGCCUGCGAGGGGCUUUCUUGGCUGGGUCUGUUCCUGACAGAAGGGAAGCGAGUUGUGGGGGUGGGGGGGCUUGGCAUGUGUGUGUGUGUGAGUGUGUGUGUGUGGUGUGUGUUUAAAAUACAGAAAAAAAAAAGAAGCAUGGCUUUCCUCAGCUGCAGAGGCGGGCCGGGUUCUGUCGGUGCCAAGUCCCUCAGAGCGGGCACUGUGGGGACACGGGAGGCACAAGAAGGCUGCAGAGGUGAGGGACGGGUGUGGAGAAAGAUGGACGCUUGCCAUCUCGAGCGCCAGCGGCUGCACGAGGCCAGACCCCACGAACAAAACCCACGGCAGAUCUCUGGCAACCCAUGUUAGGAGGCAGAAGACAGUUGGCAGCGAUGCGGCACAGAGGGCAGCCUGGGAGCGGGCGGAUGUAGCCAAGGCCAGCACGGAACAGACCUUCAGUAUAGGGUCUGGACUCCAGGAGCUGGGCAGGACUCCAGCCCCACCUCUCAGAACCUCUCCAGGAAGUGCACCGUCUGCUUCUCUUGAAAGAAGCAGUUCUAAUGCACAAUCUUUCUGUGCCAGCAGCAACGGUGCCAGGAGGAGGUCUACAGACUGCGGCCUCUGUGGAAGAAGGUGGCGCCAGUCGCACAAACCUUGCUGAUAAGGUAUCGCUGCACAGUGCGGCUGCGUGCAUCCUGCUCUGCAGAGGGAGGUCAGGGAGGGUUUCCUGGAAGAUAGAGGCAGCGUGUUGAUUGUGGAGGCUGCCUCAGGAGGAGUGGCCCUGAGGGGACAUGGGGUGAGGAGUCUGCCUGCCUGGGCAGGAGGAGCCGGUUUAUUUUGAGGUCACAUCUGGGAAGCUGCAAGGUGCAGUUAGCAUGGAGAAGGGGGUAGGGGAGCAACAGACCCCAUUGCCCACAUGGCUGGAGAGACAAACAUGUGGCUGUGCUCCUCAUAGGUAUGGCUGCUGAAGGACGCAGAAGAGGAAGAGAUAGGGAACCACUUUCAUCGUGGAUGGAUAGAGUGAGGGAAGGGUUUUAGGGGAAGACACACCAAGCACAACCGGCAGGGACCGUACUGGAGCCCAGGCACUGUGCAGAUGCUGAAGUCUGAAAGCUGAGUCUGGGAGGGCAGAGAGACGGCUGAGCUGACAUUGUUCCAGACAAGGAAGGUGACCCUGGCGGAGGCCCGUGUAGGGCAGAAACCUUCAGAGAUACUGCCUAUGACCAGCCCAGGUUGACAGAUGGGGAACCCAGCCACGAUCCUCCCUGGGAAGGUAUAAUAAUUAAAAACUGGCAGGUCACAUGGUCACUGAAACAGAAGAAAGGAGUCAGUCCUAGCCCGGCAGGGUUGCCUGUGUGUGGUCUUACAGUGACAAGUGUCUCUGUAUCUCUGCCUGCUCAGGGACCCUGCAGGCUCACAGGAGGUCCCUGGGAGUGGGAAGAGAAGACAGUGCUCUAAACACACAUCUCAGCUGGGUACCUACCCUUCAGAACCUCUGACCAGCCAAGCUAUGCAUUCUGGUCCUCCCUCCAAGGACCUACCAGUCCUCUAACCCCACUUUGUCACUAGGUCCUGCCUGUUCCCCGGCCGCCAGCCCCAGCCCCUGGAUGUUUUCUCCUUCUCCUUUCUGAUCAUAUACAGCUGGGGGGGGGGGGGCUGAGCCGAGGACAGGCCCAGCACACAGUAGGGAGCAGGCCCAGCACACAAUGGGGAAUACAUUGGUGAGGCUCCAGCCACAGCUUUAUGUAUAUUCAAGGCAUAGAUAACUGUUAGACUCCAGCCCUUGUGGUGCCCAAGGACCUCCCAGCUCCACUAGCUGUGCUAUCUCCAUUGAGUCUCUUCUCCCUUCAGUAGGGGAGGAAGCAUCUUCCUCAAUCCCAGUGGCUGAAUCUCACAGGACAAUCCUCUCUCCGGUCCCUUCCUUCCUAUUUUUCAUAUCUAUUUUCCCCCGAAGAGGCUUGACAACUGCCACUCCCCUGGAAUUUGGGAUCUGCAUACUCAGGGUCCUGCAUGGGUUCCUGAGAUAGACUCUGGUCCUGACAGGAGGCCAGAACUGACCGGCACCUGUAUGUGGUACCCACACCUAAGAGACUGAUGCUGAGGAAAUGUAUUGCCAUCCUUCCCUGCCUUCCCACCAGCACCCAGAUGCUGGCCCAAGGAAGAGGGUGACCCCAGAGUCAUCAGUGACAAGGGAAUCUCCAGAGAGAAUCCUCUACCCUUGGACUUGGUGUAAGCAUUCACAGGCCUGGACGUGGGAGGGGGCGUGUGAGCAUGUUGUAUGUGUAAGCUUGAGGACUGUGCACAUAUAUAUGCGAUCUGUGUUCAGGCAUACGCGUGCAAGCACAAGUCAUCUAUGUGCCUAUGCACAUGGAUGUGCCUAUGUGAACCCGCUUGUACUAACUUCUGCUCAGCCUUGCCCGGCAGAUGGACCCUAGGGAGAUGGUAUACAUCGGGGCACUUGCUUGCAGUCAAGCUUGAAAUCUGGCUCUAUAUCCUGUGUGCAUCUUGUGACGCUGGGCAGGCACUGAUCCUUUCCCAUGAGCUCUGAUGUCCUCAGGUGUUUGACAAGAGCCAAGCAUCCGACAGCCACAGAGAAGUCAUUUGCACAUAGCAAGCAACUGUUCCCUGCCACAAGUGAAAAAGUAUGCUCUUGGCUCUGCUCCUUCCUUGAAGAUGGAAGCUCGAACUCCAGAAGUCGGUCUGCAUGCCCCAAGCCUCACACUUCCUCUCUUGUCAUCCCUGGAACAGUCCCCAUUUGUCCCACUUGCUGCUUGGGUCCUCUUUUCUGCAGCCCAUCUACACGACAGUGGCCACAGUGGAACUUAGCAUAAUGCCUAACUUAAAGCCACCUGUCACUCCCCACUGACAUUCAGUUCACACCCACCGUCCUGUGAUAGCACUCUGGGCCCUAUCCCUCAUCCCUAGUGUUUGUGAGGUGCUCCUGGCUCCAGCUCUGGAGACCCCCAGCCCUUCCACACAUCCUCCUUCCCAGCCCUCCUCUUCAUGACUCAUGAGCCUGCUUGGUGCCUUCUAGGGGGGGCUUGCGGGCUUGCUCCAGGUGGGCUGAGGCUGUCCAAACUCAUGCCACACAGGCGUCCCAGAAGACAUCACUAGCCUGUUUCCUCUGACCUUCCCUCUCCCGCCCUCCCUUUUAUUCCAGGCUCAUAGCUUUUCCAGGGCAGAGUGUUUUUUCUCAUCCCUAGAUCCUAAACCACUGUUGAUGUUUAAGGGCAUUCUGUUAAAUACUGAACAAAUUCCAAAGCAGACACACAAGUCAUCUGUGUUUCUAUGCAAGCAGAUGUUCCUUUGUGGACCUGCACAUACUAACUUCUGCUCAGCCCUGCCCAGCAAAUGCACCCAUUUCUGGGAUUGUGGCAUCUGAAGACCCUCAUAUUCAUAUUCUAGUUGCCCAUUGUGCCCAACAGAAAGUAAUCAGGGGUUGGGAAGAGUGGCCGUCUCUAAACCCAAAGCCACGUCUCUAAAUACUGCUGACACUACCCAGGUGCCCGUGCAGGUCUGUGAGAGCCUGGGCACCUCCCUCAAACAAGGUGCUAGCUUUAGGCACCCAUGGACUAUUGACGGGCUCAUUCCCCCUGCAAGAGACCCCCAAUUGCACCCAACCACAUAGCAUUGGAACAGGCCUGGGGCAGGGCAUGGAAAAGGCUCCAGCAGGCCCAGGGUAUUGGAGGAAUCCUGUCACAGACAGAAGGACAGAAAGUUAUGGAAGUAUAUGGUGGGACUGCUUCUGGCCACGAUUAGAAUAACAGACGUCAGAAUCUCAUGACUGCCAAAGACAGCUGCUUAGCUGCACUUCUGCACAAGUUAGUUUGGAUGUAGAAUGGCUCCCGAAAGACUUGGAUCCUUGAGAGGUGCCAGGACCCUGAGGGUUCUGACUUACUCAGAACCUAGAUCCACAGAACAAUAUGUGCUAUGCUGGCACUACUGGGAAGUGGGACCUAGUGGGAGUGGGAGCUCACUGGGGGAAUGCUCUUAGGGGCUAGCUUGCCCUAGGCUCUGUCUGGAGAAGGUUCUCAGGCCCCUGCUGAGUGCUGUGGAGGCCAGGACGGCACAUUGUCUUAAUGGAUUCAGGAAGAAGAGGUUGGCGUUCAAGGGUCCCGAGGUGUAUGCAAUUAGCAGAGUAUAGAGAGAAGGAAGCUAUACAAAUGAGAGGCCAGAGCAGUACACAGGAGUGCCCUGGAACCACAAUGUGACUCACAAUGUGGCUCGAGUAAAGAUGCACAGGCCCUGUGAGAACUGUCACCAGAAGGCAAUGUGGCACUCCUGACGGUGUUCAGCUCUGGCAGACAGAGUGCAAAUGCUGGCUGAAGAGCCUGGAAAGGCAAGUCUUGAGAACAGCGUGGUGGCGGUCCUAGCACAAGGUGUGCCAUGUAACAACCCCUCUUUGUGAACAGCUUUUCCAGGUAAGGCUUCAUGGCUGAAACAAACAUCACCCUAUUCAGAGCAAAGAUCUCAGAGGACAGGCCCAGAGGUGACCCAGGUGUGGGAAUUGGAAGGGAAAGAUUUGGAAGAAGAGGAGGCCAUCCUGGGAUAUGGGGGACCCUGUCUUAAAGACAGAACAACAAAGGUCCUACCACUUGUGGGAGAAUAUGAAGCCACGUCACAUGUAUGUAAUUGGGAUGUGCAAGGAGAAGACAGAGAUUCAGAGCAGAUGAAAAAUUUUAUUCUACAACAUCAAUGAAGGUCACGUGGCAUUAAAAACUAAGAAGCAGGUAUAUCAUAGGCAAACUACUGAAGCCAAGGCUAAAGAGACUACCCCAGAAGCAGGUAGAGACAGACAGAUACAUCAGAGACACACAGACACACAGGGGCACCUGGUAAGGAAUAUUGGUGACUUCCAAUAAGAAGCAAUGCAAGACAGAAGGCAGGAGGAGAGUGUCUUUGAAAUGUCAAAACAAACAUAUAAACAAAGAAAAUGGAAACACCCUUCAAGAAUUAAGCUGAAACAAAGCAUUUCUUGGUAAACAAAGUCUGAGACACUCCAUCACAGCAGACACGUGUGUGUGUGUGUGUGUGUGUGUGUGUGUGUGUGUGUGUAUGGUGGAGAAGUCCUUCAAAAGAGAAGAUGGUCUGGAGAGCCUCAGGCUUACUGAGAGAGGAAGCCAUGGGAAGUUGGAAUGUGGUAACACAAAGCCCUCUUUCAGUUCCAACCUUCUUUAGAUGCCAAUGAGACAGACAUAAUAGUGUCCGGUGGGAAGUAUGGCAUCUGCAGAAGAGGCAUGUGCGCUUUCAACAGGGGACAGGAGGGUAGAGGCACUACAAUAGCAUCUCCUUCUAGAGCAUGAGGUCAUAUCUAGAGAUGGGGUGUGAGUCCAGAAUCAAGAUAUCAUUAUCCUUAGAGCAGCUGCCAAAAAUAAAAGAAGCUAAGAGGAAUAAACCAAAUGUUAAAGAAUAAUCAAAUCAUUCAAGUAGGCAAGAAGGAAAAUAUGAAACAAAAUUCAAUUUUGUAUAUAAAACCAACAGCGUGAUAGUUUAAGCUUAUCCGUGUUAACAGUUAAAUUAAAUAUAAAUGGGUUAAUAUCUGAGCAGAAGUCGAAGGGCCAGCGUGUCUGGUUCAACCUUCCUACCAUGUUAGAAGCCCCGGGUUGGUUGAAUUCCCAGUACCACGAGAAAGGAAAAGAAACAAAAGGAAGGCCAGUCAGAUGCCUCAGUGAGAAACGGUGCUUGCCGCCAAACCUGACAACCUAAGUGUGAUUCCCCAAACUCACAUGGUGGAAGGAGAGACGUGGCCCCUGAAAGCUGUCCUCUGACCUCCACACACAUGCUAUGAAUUUGAGCAUACAUGCGUGUGAAUACACACACACACACACACCACUUUUCAAAAAUUGGGAGGAAAUGAGGGACGGUUACACUAGGAGUAGACAGAGUAGCCUGCAGACGAGAAAUCCUAAUAGAGUUGGAGAGGAACACACCAGUUAUGAACUCAGAAGAAGAGCCAUGGGGCCUGCUCUUAAGAAGUUCAAAACACAUGACACAAAUCCAAAGGGAAACAGAGAAACUCAUAGCCACCGUUGGGAGUCCCAACAUCCCCGUCAAAUAUAGAACCAGAAAAACCAGGAGGUUGGGGAGAGUAGGGAGAAGACAGGAGCUUCAACCACCAUGACCUCAUUGAUAGUGAUAGGACCCUUCAUCCAGCAGCGACAGGAUACACAAGAUUUCCCCCAAAGGCAAACAGAAGAAAGGUGCAGUGACAUUUUGACUUUAUCUCAAUACAUUUAGCGCUGAAGGAGGUUGGGUAAUUUUGUCACCGUCAGAGAUUGAGGUCGCUUUUGAGGUUUCCACGGCUAACAGAGCUCCAUCCACCAAAGCUCCCCAGUCUCCUACCAAAACACAACAUAAAACGAAACUGUGAAAAUCUGAACGUACAGCUAAUAAGUCCCUCCUCUUUCCCAUGUUGCUUUAAGUUCCAGGAACCCGGAACAGGACCCUGGACUCGACAGAGUGCAGUAAUCUAUGGCGUAGACAAUCUGCUGUUUCUACAACUGAUAUUUUGUCUUGUGACAUUUCUCAAGCUUGCAUUGGAAGCAGGAUGGCCCUGCAAAGGAUAAUAUCUUCGGUGAGGUCGGAGGAGAGACAGCAAGCACAGUCACUCGGAGUUUUGAUGUGAAGUUGACACAGGCUGAGAAAGAAGAGCCAAGAAGCCACGUCGCCUGGAGUAAACCCAGCUCUUAUCUGCCAGACCCAAGGGGGGAAUCUCAGAUUCCCCAGCUCCUGCCCAGCUCCUGCCCAGCUCCUGCCCAGCUCCUGCCCAGCUCCUGCCCAGCUCCUGCCCAGCUCCUGUGGGGCUAAAGUUCACUUAGAGCUGCAGGCCACAAGCCCAGGCCAUCCCAAGCAGGCCUCAUGACAAUGUAUAUGUUUCUGAGAAAUCCUCUUUUGGGGAGAGCAGGACUUAGCCUGCAUAGACUAGGGAUCCCCUGAUAGGCAAGGAAACAGCAGCCAGUCACUUGUAGGUUAGGUCCCAGGAGCGUCCAGUCCCCAUGCUGGCCCUGCUCAAGUUCCAGGAAGGGACUUUCACCCAGAAAUAGCUAAGGACUAUGACAACCUUCCCAACACACUUGUUUAUGAUUUGACUUAAUUAUUUUUCUAUUUAUCUCUAUUUCUGAAUCUCUCCCUUUGGGUUUCCUGAGCUGGAUGCCCUCUCCUUUUUGGGCAGGAUGCAUGGCCACCAUGGCUGCAGAUGCAUCGUAAGGAACCCUCAGAGGUGGUGGGAUUCUGCAACUGGGGGAGCCUGGAGCCUGGGGGUGCUCCACCAGCUCAGCCACACAUGUGGUUGUUCCACCCACUCAGCCCCCACCUUGUUCCAACCGGAGCCUGACGUCUCCCCAACCACAUCUGACCAUGUCACUCCUCCAAGACCUCACCCAGAUCCCUACCACCACCUGGCCCUCUGACAAAAGGGGAUGGGCUGGCAUUGUCCAUCUAGCCUAGGCUACAUUUCUCAGUCUUCUUCCCCCGGGUUUCCAGCCUGGACCAUGUGGGAAAGUCCCAUGGAGCCGGAAGAAGAUGUUCUUCUAUAGUCCCUGCCUCUGUACUGCUGCAUUCCACUUUGGUGACUUUUUGGCUUCUCGGAGUCAGGCUACCAUCCUUAUGAGGUCACGGGCACAACUAUGAAGUACCUCCCACCUGUGCUUCGGGGCCAGCCCUCCCUCAUAGAUGCCUCUCUCAUGCACUGCGACUCCAUCACUGACCACACAGCAGGAUCUGGAUGCCCAGACCUACUGUGCGCAGUGCCUGCCACACACCCAUGACAGUGUUGCAGUUGGGUAUGAAGUGUCCUCGAGAAGGGCCCUGUGUUGUAGGCUUGCCUUCCAACCCAGCAGCAUUCAGAGAUGGAGCCUCUGGGAGGUGACCUGUCACCAAGGCUGAUGCAGAAUCAGGAAGCAGUGGGAAGCAGGAAGUGGGAAGCAGGAAGUUGGAAGCAGGAAGUGGGACGUGGAUGGAGGAAGUAUGGAACUGGAAGCACGGCUUUCCCCCUGCUGGCUCCUCUCGUCUCCCUCUGCCUCUUGCACCCUGAGAAAUAAGCACCUUUUCUCUGCCUCACAGUCCUGGCAGGAUUCUCUGUCAGACUCCUCGUGCCCACAGACCGCAGACCAGAGCCUCAAAAACCAUGAGCCAAAAUAAAUCUUUUUAAUUUUAAAA